GGGGAGGAAAACAAAUUGGCGCUAAUCCAAAAGAAAAAGAAAAAUAAAGAUAAACCCUAAGGAGAACAGAAUCCUCUCUCUACUGGUUUUCUCCUCUACUCCAACUGCGUCUCUGUGGCAUCCUCUCUCAAUCUCACAUCUUUGAAGCUCUCUCAGACCACUAUCUCUCACGGAGGGUAAUACGAACGCGCAUCCUGGUCACCUCCUUCACUUCGCCUUCAGCAAAACACACAAUUGCAGCUCUCAUAUCUGUUCCUCCACCACCGCCAACCACACGGUCAAGGAAAGAGUCUGGAGCAUUUCCAAAAUUUAGCUCAAGUAGUUCAAGAUAUUAAGGUUAGACGACAAUUCGAUCCUCAAACAGAGCCCCAAAAUUAGUCAGUGUCAUCACCAGUUUGAUUAUGCACAAGAACCCUAGAUGCACUCCCGGCGUGUGCGUAGGCUAGCGUAGAUGUGA
rnacentral:lncRNA from 1 species